rnacentral:rRNA from 1 species
UACGUAGGGUGCAGGCGUUAAUCGGAAUUACUGGGCGUAAAGCGUGCGCAGGCGGUCUUUUAAGUCAGAUGUGAAAUCCCCGGGCUUAACCUGGGAACUGCGUUUGAAACUGGAAGGCUAGAGUGUGGCAGAGGGGGGUGGAAUUCCACGUGUAGCAGUGAAAUGCGUAGAUAUCGGGAGGAACACCAGUGGCGAAGGCGACUUCCUGGCCUGUUCUUGACGCUGAGGCGCGAAAGCUAGGGUAGCAAACGGG